UCUUGAUGAUGAUUUGACAAUUUGACUUUCGUUCUUCUGAGUCUGAUGAAGCCAAAUUUUGUCCUGAAAGAG
rnacentral:snoRNA from 8 species